CGUGGGUAACCUGCCUUAUAGUGGGGGAGUAGCCUUUCGAAAGGAAGAUUAAUACCGCAUAAGAUUGUAGUAUCGCAUGAUAUAGCAAUUAAAGGAGCAAUUCGCUAUAAGAUGGACCCUCGUCGCAUUAGCUAGUUGGUGAGGUAAUGGCUCACCAAGGCGACGAUGCGUAGCCGACCUGAGAGGGUGAUCGGCCACAUUGGGACUGAGACACGGCCCAGACUCCUACGGGAGGCAGCAUG
rnacentral:rRNA from 1 species